rnacentral:rRNA from 1 species
AUACGGAAGGUCCGGGCGUUAUCCGGAUUUAUUGGGUUUAAAGGGAGCGUAGGCCGCCUUUUAAGCGUGUUGUGAAAUGCAGUCGCUCAACGUCUGCACUGCAGCGCGAACUGGAGGGCUUGAGUGCACGGGAAGCUGGCGGAAUUCGUCGUGUAGCGGUGAAAUGCUUAGAUAUGACGAAGAACCCCGAUUGCGAAGGCAGCUGGCUGUAGUGCCACUGACGCUGAAGCUCGAAAGUGCGGGUAUC